AAGAACAGUGAUGAGUCAAUACAGACCUGUAAUGACUUGCGGCCAUGAUCGCAACUCUUAUGAACAUCUAAGGGACUGAGUUCUU
rnacentral:snoRNA from 1 species